rnacentral:lncRNA from 1 species
UUUUUUUUUUUUUUUUUUUGGUGUAUAAGUGAGAGGAUUUGAAGGAGAAGGGUUGGAUAGGAUGAUAAGAUGGGAAGGAUUUUUGUGCUUUCAGUUGCACCAUUGUUAUUCAAACUAAUUCCAAAAAAUAUAUAUAUAAGGUACAAGAAACGAAGGAGAGCUACAAAAAAGAAUGAAAAAACAAAAUGUACACCAAGUGACAAAAGAACUUGGGCUAUUCUCUUGAAGUAAAAUUUUUCCAAGAAUUAAAAAAAAAAAAAAAAAAAAACACAAAGGCUACUCGUCACAUGUUGUUUCUUCUUCUAGUCAAACUAGUAGUUAAGUGAAAUAUUAAAGAGAUGAAAUGUGUUCAUAAAUCAAAUAUGCAAUUGUCUAGUAUAAUUGAUGCAAUCGUUCAAUUAGCAUGUUCUAGCUAGAGCAGCAACUUCACUGUAAAAGAAAUGUAUUCACAAUAUAUUGAAAAUAUUGAGUAUCUUCUAGACUCUAUGGCAUCGCAAAGAGUUUUGUACAAAUUCCAUGAAAAUGUAUGAUAUGUUGCCUCCAUUAAUCCCUUUUUUUUUUUUUCCUAAGGGGAGAUUUAAAGCCUUGUAAGGAGUAUCUUCUAGACUCUAUGGCUUCAAAAUAGGAUGUCACGGUCAUCUAACUAAUUCUCCCUUAAUAAUUUUAGAUGUUUAUGUAAGUAAAAGUAAUGAGGAAAAAAAAAGAUUUGUUUGAGGAAACACCAGAAAAAAAAAAAAGUAUAUUUGCUUAACGAAAUAAGACUGACACUGUGAAAUAUCUAAGACAAAGAACAGAUACUUGACAAGAAAAAAAAAAUAAUGAAAAAAGAAAAUAGAUGAGAAACUUUUAGUCCUUGUCUAACCCAACCUGAGAAACAGACGCAGUUGAUGAUGGGCCAUGUCCAAAAUUUCCACGCGAAGCCGAAAUGCUAAAUCCAAGUUCUCUGAAGAUGAACAGAGUUGUUAUUUUUUUGUGCACUUUGCUAUUGGCUUUUAAAUUUUGUCAACGAAUACUUUGAAAAACAAAAUUAAAUUGCUUAAACAAAUGCAUUUUUGCAGGCUUGCACGUCUUGAUCUUGUUUCUGCUUCUCGUUAGAUAGUUUACCUGUCAAGAAUAAAGAGAAACUCCACAUUCCCUGAGCUAGCAUCCAAAUAAGUUGUAUAAUUUUUCCAUUCAAAGGUAAAGGAUAUUUGUUUGGUUGAGAUAGUUUAGGUUAGAUUCCUUAAUCAUAUCUAAUAAUCGUGCAGCAAGCUUGUGCAUUUUGAACCAUACAACAUGAAGUUGGUCCAUUGUAUGCAUGAAAUUUAUUAUCGAAUUUUUCAGCAGUGAAUUUGUUGUACUUUAGGGAAAAAAUUAAAAUAAAAAGUUCCCAAUUAACAAAUACAAUUCAACUUUUUGCAUACAGUUUUUUCCCUUUUUUUUUUUUUUCAAAUGAGAGGUUUUGAAUCGAGGACCACCUAUUUAUAAUUUCUCCCACCUUACUAUCCAAAUCAACCCUUUCCGGAAAACUGACACCUUUCCUUAUGAGUAGAAGGAAAAUAAUACCCAAGAAAAUGCAUUGAAAAUCUCGGAUUUCAUUGAUUAACACACAAGUGUUCUUCAAGAAAUUAUUCGACAUAAUGGAAUAAUGGACCUCAACUAUGUCUGAUAUUAUGAACGUUAUAAACGCUAAAAAAUCCAGAGUCAUCACCACAACUGAGUACAUCUUGCAGAAGCAGUGGUUCAAAUUAACUUGCCAUCUUCUUUUACAUCAACCUGUCAACUUCUCCAUUCUUGUUAUCAGUUGAGUGUCUGCCAGCUAAAAUCAAUAGACAAAAUGACCAGGAUACGUAUGCUGCACGCCUUCUAAUAUGUGGUACUAUUACUUUACUUCCACAGCAUUCAACAGUAUUCAAGAAAUACAUGCGCUUUCUGAUAUGUAUAUCGGAUUUCACGUAAUGAGAAUUUUAAUCAACUUAUUUAUCAUAAUCUCAAGGGUCAUUAUCUUAUGUUUCAAAUUGAAAGAGAGAUUUGUCCGGCAGGUCAUUAGCUACUGCUCGGAUCACCUAACACCCCGACUUCAAUUAUUCCUUACUUGCUGCAAAAAGAGAAAACCAAGUAAGGAGAUGGAGUAGUUAGUUUGAUAUCAAGUAAUCCUUUUUUUUUUUUUUUAAUUCACUUGGGACUUGGCAGACGACGCCAAUUUUAGAUUUGGGGUUAACAAAGAAAUUGAUUAGGACGUCAUUUAAAAAGAAAAAUACGCAUAGCCCCUCUCUCCCUGCAACAAAUAAUGAUAGUAUUUAACUGAAUGAUGAUUAAAAGCUGUUGGAGGUAUUUAUGGUAUGGAACACAAAUCAGUGCGAGGAAACUGGUCCUAGAAAGUUCAUGCAUUAAGGAAGAUCAUGAUGAAGUACAAUGCUUUCUUGCCACAUUCUGAGUCCGAUAUUCAGGCAACUACAGCCGCAACCACAAGGAUAAACAAGAAGAAAGGAAGCACUCUCAACUCUGGAAAAGAGACUGGGGCACCACCAUCUUCCUUGAGGUGGAAAAGUUGUGCUAAAGUAUCAGCACAUCUGAUGGUUGAUGGUUUUAUGCCUUUCUCCAUCAAACUGAAAAUUCUGGCACAUGCAUGUCUUGGCAUUCUCCAUACUAGCGAAUUUGGAUCAGGGCAACUGAACAAGUUGAUCAAUAUAUAUCCACGUGAUGUAUUUACUCCUCAAACAGAGACACUUCAGCAACGUGAGCAUGUCGUAAUAAGCUUGCCACUAGUGAAAACAUGGGUCUAUAUUUGAAAGAUAUGCUGGGCAGUCAACAAUUGCAUCAGAUGAUAUUUUAAUGAGGAUAAAACAUAAAGAUUUACAUACAAAAUUUCCUAAUGUUUGGGCUACCAAUCAUGCAGGAACAACUUAGAUAUGGCCACACAUAGGUGAAAGAAGUCGGGGGAAGAAAUCAAGAUUACCUGUGAGUGACAUCUAUCCGAAAAUGAUAGCCAAUCUAUGGACUAUUUUAAUCGUUUCCAAGCAUGCAUUUGGAUUUUGGUCAUAGUUCAACCAAUAGAACUUUUUCUCGUACGUUAAACAUAUCAAACAAUAUGAUUCUGUGACAUGAUUAAGGCAAUAUAAUAAACCUAGUAAAACCUUAAAAAUAUAUCUUGUUUUCCGUACUGUUUGGGCUGCUCAUGCGUUACCUACUAUUCUUUGGUUAUAAAUACACUUAGACUUCAGCAGAAGGCUUGUGUCUUAGUCUAAGUUAAUAUGACGAUUCUCGGUAUGAGAGCUUUCUUUCUGAUUUGCCUCUUUUCUCUUUUGGGAAUUCAAGCAAGACCUUUGCUAGGUAACUUUCACGUUUCAACUCCUAACUAUGCUUCCUCGUUAUCAGGGAUUUGAAUUUAAAAUCUAUUACUAAGCAGCCUGAAACAACAAUGGCAUACCAUUGUCUCUGUGCUGCUACUUCUUCCACUAUAUAAGUUGGAUUUAGUGAGGCGCAGACUCUAAAAUGUUCAAGUCAGUAUACUUCACACUCAUUCUUGCAGUGGAUUUUCUUAUUCAAUCUUAAUGUUUCAUGAUACUUGAUCUUGUGAUCUGGUGUCUUCACUGAUUUCAGUUCCUUUCAACACUUUCCACAUUUUCCUCUAAUUAAUAUGUGAACGAAUGCAUAACAAAUUUCAUUACUAGUUAUUUCUGCUCUAAUUUGUUAUGAUAUCUUUGGAGGCUUAAAUGCUUACCCUUCUGCCAAGUCAUUCUUUCCUUGUACGAAUUAAUGAUUGUUAUGCCAACUAUUUUCAGGUUCAAUCCAUUUAUCUCAAGAUUUAUUGAUAUAUUGUGCAUGGUACCAUGCAGUUCCUGGAAAGUACUAAUGGAUGGUUUAAAAUCUUUUGAUUUUGCACGUUACUAGCUUGAUUACCUAACGAUUUCCUUGCGCUGCAGAGCAUGGUUACACCUCUAUGGUCGAGUCAAAUGACGGAACUCCUGCUCCUAAGAGUGUAGACAAAGUCCUGUUGAGGAUGAUCAUAACUUACGAGCAAGCACCAGGCUUGCAUCUGGUUCAACCGUCCUUGGCAACCAGCUAUGGAAGGACUCUUUCACCUCCUCCUCCACCAAUGCCAGCAUCACCAACUCACUAUCAUGAAGCAAGCCAUGGAGUCGAGCAAACGCCAGGCUUACAUCUGGUUCAACCGUCCUUGGCAACCAGCUAUGGAAGGACUCUUUCACCUCCUCCUCCACCAAUGCCAGCAUCACCAACUCACUAUCAUGAAGCAAGCCAUGGAGUCGAGCCAACGCCAGGCUUACAUCUGGUUCAACCGUCCUUGGCAACCAGCUAUGGAAGGACUCUUUCACCUCCUCCUCCACCAAUGCCAGCAUCACCAACUCACUAUCAUGAAGCAAGCCAUGGAGUCGAGCAAACGCCAGGCUUACAUCUGGUUCAACCGUCCUUGGCAACCAGCUAUGGAAGGACUCCUUCACCUCCUCCUUCACCAAAGCCAGCAUCACCAACUCACUAUCAUGAAGCAAGACAUGGAGUCUAUGAAUCACCUCCAAAUCCCUUCCUAGCCUCAAGCUAAAGCUUGUUCUGACUGAUCAAAGGUGUGGACGGUGAAUAUGCAUGAAGAUCUUCUAGUCUAAGUUCUAGUAUUACUUGUAGUAGCCGCUUGAAGCAAUAAAGUCUUUUCUGCUGCUUGUGCUUUUCCCUUAUAAAUGUAACUUCCACUAUGUAGUUGGCAAAUAUGAAGUUGGUUUCUGUGGCUCUAAGGAUCCAUGCAUUCAUGAGUCUCAGCUUAGAAUUUUUGGUUAACAUUCGAUUUGCUAUUUUCCUUUUUCACCUUUUAUAUCCUUAUAAGGUCGUUGAAGCUCCAGACACGAUUCGGCUCUAAUGUCUUGAUUCUCGGCACAAUGAUCCGGUUCCAACGUUCUUGAGAGCAAAAGACAUAAACAGAUGUAAACAAAAAAGAGACUGUCUGAGAACACAGACGUUUUCUGGUAAAUCCUUGGGAACGUAAAGGAAUUAUGCGUUUGGAAGAUUUUUUAAAAAUAAGUACUCUAAUACUAUGUGUGAUAUAAUAUAUGUCGUACGCAAGAUUAAAAAAAAUGUUACUAAAAAGGUAGAACGUAAUUCAAAAAAAUAUGUUUGUGACAUAAACAAAAAAGAAAUUUCAAAUAAUAAUGUAUUCAAUCACAUUUUGUACUGCAUGCAUCUUUGAUAAUACGAAAGAAAAUGAAAAUGAAAUUUCGGAAAAACAAAAAGGAAGUAUGAAACUUAACCGAGAAAUACAUUAAUCUUUAGCAUCAUCAGGACAAUAAUUUUUUAACUUUUCUAAGUAACAAGUGAAGUCUUGAUUAAAGAAGAUUCAUUUACGAAAGGAUCGGAGUAGCAAAUUAUAGACCUAUGAUUAAUUGAAGUGAUAAAUUAGCUCCGGGGAGGAAUACGAAUGACCCCACUAGGUGAAGACCUACAUAAGAGCAGGGGGGGAAAAAAGAAAAAAGAAAACUCGUACUAAUAAAAAUGAUAUAAAGCUUGAUUUCCUAUUAAAUGUGCAUCAUCAUAGAGGACCUGUUGAAUAGGAAAAACAUACCGUAUUGAUGCCAAAAGUUUUAUAAUUAGUCAGCAUACACAGAACACUAAUUACCUUGGACUUUUUCUUUUACAUGAAAUAAUCCAAUUGUACUAAAUUUUUGCAGAACUUUCAUGGCUAGGAAGGUAGAGUUAUCUGAAAUAGCUCUAUUUUUAAUUUUAAUGGACAUUUGUAAUCAGACCCUCAAUCCACUUAUUGAUUUGUUCUUUUACACUAAAUCAAACUAUCAUCCUUCUAUUUUUAAUUUUGUUUUUCUUCCAAUCAAAAAAAUUAUUUCCUUUCUUUCUCUCAAGGGAUAAUGGCAGAAACCUCCCUUGAGGUUUUUAAUAAUUUCACUUGGCUCCCCUAAAAUUUCAAAAAUUACACCUACAUCCCUAGCCCAUUUAAAAUGACAAUGCUAACUUUAAUAUUUUUAAUAAAACUCUCUUGCUACCAUGCUUAUGGAAAGGAAGGAUUUUAUAAUUUUUUAACAUUUUUUCUUCUUAUUCAUUUCUCUUUUAUUUUAUUAGAAGUAUAGAAAAACUAUCAAUGUUGUCCCUAAUAUCUAUCCAAAUUAAACAUUAAACUAGUAUUAUUUUUUUUUGAUAACUUUUAAUAUCAUCCAAUUUUUUUGUAACUUUUUUUUUGUUUCAAAAUCAAGGAUAUGUCAACAAUGAUUAAAAACAAAUAACCCAAAAUCACUACUAAAUUAUGAUAGUUUCAUCAACAAACUAGUCCAUAAACUUUUAUUAAAAAAAUAGUCCAUAAACUUUAAAAGAAACAAAUUAUUACUUUUUUCUCUAUCUUAAAAAGAAUUUAUAUUUCUAAUAAAGCACCAUGAAAAAUACCCUAUUCUAACAAAAGAUUUAUUAUAAUAGUUGAUUAUCAAAUAACAAAUAUUGGCAUGAAAAAAUUGACACUCUUUUUGUUUAGAAAAACAAAUUGAAUUUUAUAAGGUAAGGACAUUUUAAGGUAUUCAUUAAAUUUUUUACUUUAUUCUAAAGUUUGAUUACCAAAGUGUCAAGUCAAGCGAGGUAAGUGUACCUUUUAAAACGUGAAGAGAACUAAGUGAAAUAAUCCCUUUUCUCAUUAAAUGAGUCCAAAAAAAAAAACAGAAAUGUUGUCCCUGAAAUGCCAAAACUUAGAUGUUAAAGUGUAAUUUUACUAAAUUUUAUGGUCAAAAUAUAACCUCAAAUUUAUCCAUUUUUAGAUUUUUAUAAAGUUAAUCCUAAAUCUGCACUCGCGUGGUAUAGGUGACCUGCUAAACCCGGCAGAUUUUAGAAAUUCUUUUUUUGAAUUACUUUUUUAUCCAAUUUUUUAAUUUGACUAAUCACACCAACAUCAGCAUUGUCGUCUUCUCUUUGGACCUAAUUGUAAUAAUAUUGAACUUUUUAGGGGCCAAAUGCUAUUUUACCAAAACUUAGAUGUUAAAGUGUAAUUUUACUAAAUUUUAUAGUCAAAAUAUAACCUCAAAUUAAUCCAUUUUUAGAAUUUUUAUAAAAUUAAUCCUAAAUCUGCACUCACAUUGGUAUAGGUGAUCUGCUAAACCCGGCAGAUUUUAGAAAUUCUUUUUUUGAAUUACUUUUUUAUCCAAUUUUUUAAUUUGACUAAUCACACCAACAUCAGCAUUGUUGUCUUUUUUACAAUUAGAUGAAAAAAAAUUGAAAACGAAUUUGAAAAUUAGGGUUUCUUUCUUUCUUUGACACUUAGAUUUAUCAUUUAUGUUUGUAUAUAAUAUCAAUAUGAAUUCAUAAACUAAGGAAUACAUAUGGGUAUGGGUUGUGUGUAUGAACUAUGAACUAUGAAAUAUGAAAUGGAUUAUGGUUUAUUAAUAUUUAAGAAUUUAUGUACUUAUAUUAUAAUUUAUAUGUUUAGUUAUAUUAUAAUUUAUAUGUUUAUUUAAUUAUAUUAUUUUUUAUUACAUAAUGUGAUCCAACGGUCCAGUUGAACCAUUAACCCGCCAACCUGAUGUUGCUGCUGUGUUGAUGCCGGAUUGGUUUUAAUAAUUAUGCUAUCAACAUCCCCAUUCUUGGACCAUCGCAGCGUGUGCAGUAUCACUAGGUUUGUUUGGAUAGAGUAUUAUUUGAAAUAAUUACUGUAACAUUUUUUAUGAUGUGAUGUAUGUGAGAUUAAAAGGUACUCCCUCCCUUUUUUUAUAACUGACGUCUAAGAAAUUUGUUCUAGUGUAUUUUUAUCUGUCGUUUUAUUAUCCCCAUACAGUAUUAAUUAUUUUUUCACAAUUUUACCCUUUUAUCUCUCUUUUUCAAUACAGGGUUCUUAAUUACUACUCCUAGUAAUUAUUGCAUUGCUUUUGGCCUAGUAAAACAGCACCAUUUAGUACUCUAGUGAGAGAAAACAUGGGUGAAUUGGAUAAUUAAUGAGGGUACAAAAGGAAAGUAGUUACAGAUUUAAGCAAUGAAAAAUUUUUCUUAAUUGGUGUGCAAAACCUUAAACGUCAGUUAUAAAAAAAGGGAGGGAGUAAUUAAGAAUAUAAAAAUGUGGGUUGAAAAAUGUGUUUACGAUACAAGUGAAAUAUUAUUUAAAAUAUUUGUACUAUUAUGACGUGGGCUCGUACAUUUCUUUGACUCUUGUUAGGCGGGGAAGUUCACAAUUUUUUAUUCUUUUCUCGAUUAACCCUUUUCAAUCCUUGGCUUAGUAAUUGUCUUUUCCGGGUGCCUCCACGUGAAUGGGCUGGUGGUUGGCGCCUCCUCCUCGGGACCGUUAGGUCCUGGGGUCGAACCUCCGCAGCAACAUCAGGUAUAAAUGGGGGCCGGGUCGGAGUGGGGAUUAGUCGGGCCGCCUUUACGGACUUGACCCGGACACCCCACUCCGUCGACAAAAAAAAAAAAAAAAAAAAAAUUGUCUCUUUCCGGGUACUGAAGAACUGUGAAAAAUUGCUGCCCAGCAAAAUAUCAACACUCCAAAGUCACCGCUUGCCAUUUCAUGAUUUCAACCACCAACAUGUUUCCAACAGCCUGAGAGUCGGAAAUGUAUUGCGGAGAACAAACAAGAAAUACCUGGUCCCUUCUCAGUAAUAUUUCUCCGUCAUAAAUAGUGUAAACAAAUUUCUUCGUAUCGCCGGCGUUAGGGUUUUUCUUAUCGGAACGGCUCAAGAAUUUGCGGUUCGUUAAUUUAAUCUCUCUCGAGUUUAGGGGUUUAAACCCCUCCAAGUCCAAGCCUUUCUUUGCUACCCAAGUUCUUUUUUAUUAUUUAUUUAUUUAUUUGUUUUUCUUGGCGCAUUGAACAUUUCUUGAAAUUUAGGACGGGCGGUUCGCGCACCUGGGACGACGUAGAAGCAUAACCUGCGAGACGGAAUAGGUGUUUAUUCAGUAAAACGCUGCUGGCCUGGCAACUGGCAUGGUGUUUGAAACCUAAUUAGCUGCUGCAAAUUAUCCCUGAAAUUACCCCUUUUCUCAAACAACCAAAUGAGCCCAUAGGCCUCGGGGAGCCGUAACUCAUAAACGUUGUCCUAAGAAAACGAUUUUUCCCUGCUGGAGACUCACUCUCCAUAGCAGGUGCGCGACACGGGUCGGAUUCGGAUUAGUCGGGCAAAGCCCGGAUACCGGGCGGGCAACCAAAAAAAAGAAAACGAUUUCUUCCUUUCACUAGAGGUCUAGAAGCACGCUUUUUAAAGAUGGUAUUGCUCGAAACAGAAACGAAGUACAGUCCCUCUUUCACUCUUUAGCGCUUAUUUCUGGAAAAAACGGACAAAAUGGCGAAGAAGGAGACUGGAGCUUCUGACGUGCGAAUCGACAGCGUAGUAAUAACACCAUGGAAGGCCCUUCUAACGAACGUAACCUGCGGAGUAGGAUUAGGAGUAGCUUUCCAUGCUGCCAAUAAUUUCUACUCCAUCAAUUUGAUUCAAAAUCCGGCAAAAACCCUCCGUCUGAUCUGGGUACUGACCAUAUCUAUCAAUUCCUGUCAACUCCAAGUUGAUUAUUUCUCAUUUUUUAGUUUUCUAAUCUCUCUCUCUCUUUUUCAAUUGUUGGUUUGAUUUUUUGAAGGUUAUUGAGGCUCCAGUCGUGAUUCUGCUGUACAGUCUCUUUCGACAUCGUCCUAAUCAAUGCUCUGUAAUUCCAAUUAAUCCCAUUUCCUCGUCUGAUUAAUUUCUUUUUUUUUGUUGGUUAUUUUUAUAUGUUAAUCUCUUCUUUUUAACUAUUAAACGAGGUUUUGAUAUGUGUAUUGGACAGUACUUGAAAGCCGUAGUACGAGGUUUGUUGGCACUACCUGCUGGUUAGUCGUUCAUUGCUUUUUUGUUUUUAUAUAAUUUAAUUAACUUUUAUCACUCAAACUUCUUGGUUAAGUGGUUGGGAUUUCAAAAGUUGCAAUCUUUAAUUGCUCUGUGCUCUUUAUUUUUGUUUCUUAUUAUUUUUUAAAAAUUUAUGAAGUGAUUUCUUUCUUUGAAGGUUAAUGAUGUACAAGUAAUAGAUAAAGUUGAAGGCUUUGAGAAGUAAUUUUUAGUAAUUUAUAGGUUGAAAAGAGUUACGCUAGCACUGUUUAGCACUUGUACCUGUAAAAAGAUAGGUUAUUUGAAUACAGAACAAGGAUAUUACUUGAGGACUCAUUCUUACACAACUUUCUAUCUUUUGUUUCAAUACUUUGCCUGCACUAGUGGUAUAAUAGCUUUAUAGCUGAAUGUUCGUCUGUCAAUACUUGCUUAACAUUUUUUGUUAUUUUGUUGUCUUUUUCAUUAUAUUGGAUUCUAAGUAUGUUGGUUUUUGCAUGUAAAUACACAGGGGCAGUAGUGAAUGCACUUGGAGCUAUAGCAUUGGGAGCACCCAUGAUUCAGUAUGUAACUUAUCUGGGUUGUUUCCAGUCUAUUUAUUAUGAUUUUGAGAACUACUGAGGUUAAACUUCAGGUUGGACAAAUGGUCUCUGUUCUAUUCUAUCCCAUGGUACAGAACUGCUCGUCGAUGUUAUGGAGUAUAGCAAAUCCUAGACUAUCUUGCACUGAAAUGGGUGAAUAGCAGUAACCAUUACUAUGAUCAAAUAGACAUGUGCAGAAUAAUACAAAUCCUGAGUAGCAAGCAUGAAAAAGAGUUUUUUUUUUUUAAAUUAUAGUUCAGGAGUUAUUUUGACACUUCACAACUAUUUUGUGGAACAAAUUGAGAUAAUUUUCACAGUUUUUAUCGUUAUCUUGGAUCGGAUGUUUUAUUCUGUGGUUAAUUACAGGAACUUCAACAGGACCCUCCACUGGUCUCUUCUGAUGUCAGUGCUUACUGUAAGUGUUUCAUUUGACAUCUCAUUUGCCAUUCUGUAUCUCAUGCUUCAGUAAACUCCUGGAUCAACUGGACUAGCUCCGAAAUUUGUGCUGGAAACCUAGUAACUUGAGGUAAAAUUUGCUUUGUUUUUGUAAGUAAUCAUAGAUAACCAUCAAAUUUUCCUCUGUGCCAUAAGGAUCUUAAUCAGUCAUUUCCUGGUCUGUAAAACUUCUGCUGCUGUUGGCAGUGUGUCCCAGCAGCUUCUGUGUUUGGUUCUUCUUGGGCUGACUGGCACCGGAUAUUUGCUCACACAAAGUAAGCAUAUGAAACUAAUGUGAUUUUAUUUUGCCGACAUCAUUCCCUUUUUGUUUUUCUAGCAUUGAGAAGUAAUACUCGUGUUAUUUGACUUCUGCAAUUGUUCGUAACUUUUUGUUAGGCCAAGUGGACCUAUAGAGUACAUGAUCUGCCUACCUGCUCAUGGAGCUGUCAUUGGAGCAUGGUUUGGCGCUUGGCCAAUGCCACUUGACUGGGAAAGACCAUGGCAGGUAGGCUUACCUUCCUAUCGAAUACCGGUCAUUUGAAACUUAGAUGAUUUUUGCAUUCCUUUUAUCUACAGUUUUGACUCUCUCUCUCUCUCUCUCUUUUUUUCUUCUUCUUCUUUUCUUACUGUGUACAUCAAGAGUUUGUUCAUCAAGAACUUAGUAGUAAGAGUGGCUCAGAAACCAUUGAUACCUUCAGGAGUGCCCUGAGGUCUACCAUCACAUGGCCAAAAAAUCUUCUCUUGUUACAUUCUCCAAAAUAACACAAAAGUAAAGUAUGGAACUUGAUAUGUUAAUGCAGCGUAUGAUAUAGUCAGGGUUCCCUGUUGACAAUUCAAUAAUUGAUGCUUAGCUUUCAUGGUUAGAUUGUUGUGUUGGCUCUGAUAUUCUUGUUGUUCACUUUGCCUUUUCAUAUAAAGAUGCCAUAUUAACAUUGCCUUAGUAUGAAUUUUAGACCCUGCACAUGAAAUUGAGUCUUGAAAAGCACUGGAGAGAUGGUGAGGGUUUACGCAUAGUAGUCCUGAUGUGGUUCUGAUAAUUCCAUGAUGUAGUGAUGUGUUGAUAUAUUGUUCCAAGCAUAAUCUCCUAGGUCAUGUUAGUUGCAAUGGUUUUGGUAAAUGUACUUGACCAUAUAUGUUCGAGCUUGGCAAUUAGAUUCUAACUGUUGGAUAUUGUUCAGCCUUGGUUUGCAGCAUGUGGUUCAGUUGUCAUGCUUUGUACCCUGAGACUGAAAGUAUUUGAAUUUGUUUGUAGGACUGGCCGGUUUGUGUGAGCUAUGGAGCUUUGGCUGGGUACUUUGUCGGGAUGGCGGCAGCUUUUGGUUUUGUCCUCUUCCUAAAUAAACGAAGGCAUGUAAAAGGAGACUAAUGAUGGAGAAUUCGACAUUAAUCUUAUUGGAGGUUGCUAUCGAUGACCCUAUUGAUAGACUGAGUUGCAUCCAGCUGACCAUAGGACCUCACCUGCUGAGCGGAGGUUUUGUAAUUUUUUCCCAGUAACACUACAAAACUCAUCCCUCCCCAGAACUUUUCUUUUUGCCCGGGCAAUGCAAUUUGCAGAAACUUAGAAGUACCUUUGGUUCCCACUGGAAGUUCAUUCUUUACCCUUUCUUUUCUCUUUCUUUUUCCCACUGUAACUCUAUUUCUUCCAUUAUGAUCUGCUACUGUCUUCUAAAGGGAAAAUCCUCGUCUGGUGUAUGCUGAGGUUGUGAACAAGAAGGAUGUUAUUCCUGAGAGAUUAGCAUCCAUGGCACACAUUCCUCAAAUUUUCGCUUUCCAUUGUGAAAAGCUUGAAUUACUGAGUCCUGGUUUUUGCUUACAGGUGAAGAUAUUUCACAGCCAUUGUUUAUGCUUUGUCUUUCAAAUAAACUUUGGGCAGAUGGGACACUUUAUACCUUUUUUUAACCCACCAUGUUUGUACAUUUCCACUUCUCAUUGACUCACCAUGACUUUUGACGAGGAUAAGCAGAGACACAAACCAGGUCACCACUCAUCACCCAUCACUCACUAAUCUUGUAAUAGUGCUGCAAUUAAUGAUGCAAGGACCAGUACGUACCCAAAUCUUAUUUGUCCAUUUUCUAAAUCUACCCAAGAAAAAAGUAUGGUACCAUGCCAACUGAUCUUUUCCUUUUCAUGCUUUACCAUGCUACGAAUGAGGGAUUAGGCAACAAAAUACCAAAAAAAUAAUAAUAAUAAAGAAGGAGAAUUUUGUUUAGCAUUCAAGCUCAUCAAAAGGCAAUUCAAGCCAUUGGCCAACAAGCCUAGCGGUGGCGGGAAAAUUUACCGGACGAUAACGAGCACCCUUUCUUUCCAAGCCUCCGGUUCUGUAACUCCGCGUUCUCGUCACGCCAUGUUAUGCGUACGUGCAUGCUAGACUUCCAUAAAAGCCCUUGGGCAUUCCAUCACAAUGACAAUAUUGCCCCAACAAUGACCAAAUGUCGUGCCAUUAUAGGCUCGUCACUCAUCAAACUGUCACAGCCGGUCAAGCUACCGGCACUGCCACAUCAUCGAGGAGCUCAACCCGCGAUGCCCCAGAUGGCUCCUCUCUUUGUUACACGUGUAACGGAGAAAAUUGCAAAAGUGGGCCCUACAACCGAACCCUUUAAAACUCUCUUAGAGCCCUAAGCGCCAAAAAAAAAAACCCCCACCUUUCCCCCUCCCCUCCCCUAACCCCAGGCCACUCUCAAGUCACAACCCCCAAAAUCUCUCAAAAACCCCUUCACUUUCUCUCUCUAGAAAAAAUCGCUUCUUUGAAAUUUCUCCGAUCAUCUGUUUCCAUCAUCAACUGGUACCUCCACUUCAGCAACUGGUACUUGUUUUUAACAUUUCUAUAUGCAUAUGGGUUUAGUUCUCGAUUUUAAUUUGGAGCUUUUCUUCUUUUUUUUUUUAAAAAAAAAUUCUUAUUUAAGCUUUAUUUUUUUGCCUGUCCUGUAUUUAAUGUGUUCGGUGCCUUUUGUUUUUUCUUUUUUGGUUGUUGGAUGAUGCAAUUUUUAGACUUCUGUAAUUCUUUUAGUGCUUUUGGUGUGGUUUCUUGGAUUAUCGUAACCAUUAACUGUGGGCAUGUCUGGGCUUUUGGAAGUCUACAACAAUUUUCGAAGAUAUUAAUCGCAACAGGGUUUAGGGCUUUUCUAGAAUUGGAGGUUGUAUUCAUCUGUUUGCUGUGUAUAUCUUGCGCACAGAUGGCGGUUUUUUUUUUUUUCUUUCUUGAAAUGUUUGAGCUCAAAUUUUGCUGGGUGAUUUCCAUCCGAUUUCUCAUUAUUGGGACUCACAAAUAUUACCAGCAAAUUAUUUCAUGUCUUGGUUCUGAUGAAAAUGUUAUUGAGGGAGAUACUGUAUUUACCUAUAUGCAUACAAACGAAUUGCUGAUACCCUUUUUCCUCCCUUUUUUUUUGGGUACUUAGACGGGAUUUAUUGAUUUGAGCAAUAAAUGGGCACGAUCACUGUUCAGACAAGGUGGUUUAGGACUCUCUCUUUAUUAGAUCUUAGGUUUGUGUGCUUUUUGUUAAAUUUGGAGUAUUCAGCAAGAAUUAUGCCAGGUUUUGUUAAUCGCUGGCGAGAUAGUGUGCACCUACUUUCCAAUUUUGCAAAUGUGAUGUAAUUAUCCCUUUAUUCCAUUUCAAGUUCUUUUUGCACAUUUUACUUGAGAAAUGAGAUUUGAUGUGUUCACCUAUAGAAAUUGCUUAUGCUUGGUCUUCUCCCUUUAACUGUCAGCUUCUACUAAUCUUGAUCAGUUUAGAGAUUUGCUUGUAUGUUUGCUGGUGCUGGGUAUUUUGCAUUGACAUUCUACUGUGUAUCGUUUUACAGAGUUAGACUGGUAGACAUCACUCUCUUGACUUGUCUCUCCACUCUGAAACUAAUUAUGGGAUUUGACAAGCCAAAUGAUGAGCAAUAUCCACCCAUGCCAUUGCAGGGUGAUGGUGGAUGUAUGUUUGCCAGUAGGGAAGGUGGAACUGUUGACUGUGGUCAGAAUUUUCCAAGCUGUACCAGUUCUGCUGACUUUUCAUUCCCAUAUGUAUCUCUGGCUAAUUCUGCUUGGAAUGACAUGCAUGCAACCCAUCAUUCUUACCCACAUGACCUUAGAAAUGGUAGCCAUUUGAUGACUGGUCUAAUGGGGCUUGACAACUUGCAAAGUCAGGACAACCUUAAUUUGCAUAGUCUCAGAGGUAAUGUGUUUAUGUACCUUGGCAAUCUCAGAGCUUCUGAAAGUUUAUAUCCUGAAGGAAAAUUAGAAAAGAUGUUGGUUAAUUAACUAAAGUAAUAUUGUUAUUUCAGGUAGCUUGAGGAAUGUAGAUGUUCAGAAUACUCAGGCUAACAUAAAUUUUUUGCCAACUGGGAGUAAAGCUGCUGGAGAUUACCAAAUGAAUGUUCUGGGAGGAGAGGCAGAAGGUAGUACCGUAAACUGGUCACAGAUUAGUGAGAGUUCUUUAAAUUUAGGAUGUGGUGCAUCCUUGUCACACCAAAAUACAAGUUUCCUUGAAGCUGGAGUUAGAAAUGAUGUCAAAGUAAAUGCCUUCCAUCCAAGACAAGUGGACGGAAGUUUUUUAACCCUUGGAAUUGGAGGUAAUCCAGAGACAAGAGCUAAAUCUAAAUUUGAUUCCCGAGAGGUCGCCAAUAAACUGGUGGAAGCAGUUGGGCCCCAAAGCAGCAGUUCCCAAAUUCAACCUGCCACAAGUCUAUCAAGUUUUCAAACUUAUCCUGGCUGUUCUCCAAGUACUGUAUACAAACUAGGUGACUGGACAACCUCUAAAAAUGUUGAUGCUAUUGUUGGGAUGCGUUCAAGCCCAUUUAUCAGUCCUCAGAUGCCAGAAGCUUUUAAGCAAUAUGAUUUCUUUGAGAAUAAUGCUAAGAAUACAAGUUUUGUCGAUGAGUCUAUGGGAAGAAAUUCUGCACUAGAAUCUUAUAAAUUUUUUCAAGGUGAUCCUUCUCCAUCUUCAUUGCCGUUUAAUAGCACUUAUGCUUGCGUCCCCCAACCUGGAUAUACCAAACAGUCAGAGUUGGGAUCAGAAGCCUUCGAGUCUACCUGGGUGUCCACUCAACCAGCCAGAGACCUUCUGUGGAAUUCUCAUUCUAUAGAGCCAGGAAAUAUCUCAUCCUCCUUUGGUUCCCAUUGUAGCAGCCUGAGGGAUGUCUCUCUCCCACAGGAUUACUUAGGUGAGUUUUAGAAGUUGUUUCCUGUCUCUUGUCACUUACGAGUGUAGAUUACAAAUUUGGCUGGAAGGUUGUCAUUUUUAUGUUUAUCUCAUAAACAAAGUCAAAGUUGGGUUCAAUGAUUUUUAUUGUCAUCAAGCUGUCUAAGUUUCUUUAUGUCUUGAAUGACCAAAUUACGGUUGCACAAAGGUCCAUAUUUUUUAAUUUACUUCUUUAGAAAAAAGGAGGAAUUGUUUCCCCUUUUUUAUGACAAAACUAGUAUAUGGAUAAAGUCACAAUCCAUGGCAGGCAAUUUCCUUGGACUGAGAUGGAAGCUUUUCAUUCAAGUGCCCAAAGUGAUACAUGCCUACAUUCACUGUUGUUGUGAAUUCUCUAGCAGCAUGACAACUUUUCUUAUUGCAUUGAGUGUAAGCUUAUCUGUAAUUUGGGUUGUAGACUGUGUAGAAAUUUGCCAAUUAAUAAAGAUUUAUAAGGUAAUGAGAGUUGGAAUUGAUUUUGAUUUUUGCUGUUCCACACCUGAGACAGAGAAGCAAAAAAUGUUAGCUUGUGUUAGUAUAGCCAUUAUCACUUAGAACAAUCUGUGAACCUCAACUUCAGGAAUUUCUGUGCUUCCAUCAGAGGGUUGUGCAGCUCAAGCUGUUGGAAGUGGUGAUCAGUGUGCCAGUGGUCAGCCAGAUGGUGAGUGCAUCUCAUUUAUGCGUAUUUGCAUCACAUACAAAUGUACAAACUCCUUACAUGCCAACUACUUUGCAUUUUAUAUGCAAUUCUUUGUUUAAGAAGCUUUUGAAACUCCUUUGGCAUUACCAUUUUUCUGCCAAUUAGGAGAAAAAGGAAAAGCUUUUGUCAGAUAUCAAGAACGUGUUCACAUAAACACAAUGGCCUGAUCUACUUUUCUGUUAGUUCUUUAACAUUAUUUUGUAGCCUAGUUCAAUUUGGAUGGAAAUGAGAUUAUCUCAAGUAGUUUCUUUCCUUUAAAUAAAAUUUCUUCAAGUGAUUAUGGCCGUGGUAUCUCACACAGGAAGUGUUCAUUUAUUAUUUUACUCGGCCGUACCUGAUCUUUUGUAUGUCCAAUUAAAGUGAUUGUGAUCAUGACUUCUACAAUGUACUGAACUUGUUAAGUUUGGGGCUUGGGAACUAGAGGAAAAUUUGUGGAGUUUGCGAUAGUGUAUGGUCUGAUAGUGCUUAAACUAAAUGUUUUUCCCCUCGUAUAGAAUCAAAUAACAGCAAAAUGGACCAAUAUUUUUCAUCUGCUAUCCUUGAAUUAACUAGCACAAUGAAGUGAGCAAAUUUCAUGGUAAGCAUUUACUUGCUACUAUUCUUCUGCAGGCCAUGUAUCUUCUCCUUACAAGGUUAAUUCUGCACCGCAUUUUCGAAGCACCAAUUAUCCCAAGAAUACCAGUCUUCUGAUUGCAGAGGGUAGUGCUAACAAGCCUGCUAUACGUGCUCCAUUUCCUCGAAGGCUAGGGGUACAAAUUGAUGAUCCUGCUGCUACUCAAUCCGCUACUGGAAGUGUAUUAUCCGAGAAUAUGGGAGCCCAGACUAGGAGUAAGUAAUUCUCAAUUCAAAAGCAGCUCAAUCCUUUUCAUGAUGCAGUUGAAUAUCAUAUCCUGUGGGCUGUUUGAUUUAGUAUAUUGGGCUGCAUUUUUUCUGUUUUGUCCUUCUUGAGACCUUAACAAGAAUAGUGCUUUAAGGAUGACUACAGCAUUUUUGACACCCCAAUGCUCGAAAAAAGUUCACCACCCACCAGAACCCCCCAAAAAGGGGGAAAAAAGAUGAGAGAGAGGGAGAGGGAGAGGUUUUUUUCUUUUUUUUUGGGGGGGGGGGGGGGUUGUGUGUGUGUGGAGGAGAAGAAAGCACCAGUUGUGAAUUCCAUAGGCUGGUUUCUAGUAGUCAAGUAUGCAAAAUGCUCUAGUUUAGCCUUUGGUUGACUGCAUAUUAGUGAUCUAUGUUGGCUCCACUUUUUUGCUUUUCAUUAUUUGUGUUUUGUGUGUGACAAGAAGCUUUUCCUAGUGUGACUUAUCAGGGAAGCAGGUUAGACUGGCCCCAUACUAAGAUAGUUCCUUCAGUUCAACUGAUGUUACUUGAAAAUUGUGUCGUGUUGAGCUAAUUUUGGUAAUAUGACUCAAUGUCAAGGUUCAAGGUGAUAAGAUUUUUAUCACAUGAUGGAAAGACGAAACAGAAAGAGAGAAAAAUUUGAAAAUAAAGACCGUCUAAAAUCUGGUUCACAUACCAUGUGCAUCAUCUUUUGACCUUGUGAUUAUGUUGUUAAUUGUCCUUGGUGCUUGGUAUAAAUGUUCAGGUAAUGAGCAUCAGUCUCGAAUUUCUGGACCUGUUCAGCUUGCUAAAAAUUUUCUCGGGCCCAUUUCUGGUAUUAAUCUAUCAUACUUGAUAUAUUGCAAUUUAGUCUAUACAUAAGCAUAAUAUUCUGAUGUUCAGAUAAUCCAUAAGAGUGACGGUCUGAUGUUCCCAGGUCAUCGUCAAGACCGUUUGGCAGCUAAAUUUAAUGUUCAAAGUCCCUCCCUCUCAACUGGUAUUUAUGAUUAGAUUUUUAUCAGGAGAGAGAAAUCUGAGUACCCUUAUCGGCAUGUUUCCUGUAUGAAAAUUUUUGUGUUUUCCUUUGUCUGAACUAGGUCAACCUCAACGUGCUGUCCCUGUUCGGUUUCCCAAAGAUCUUAUGAGAGUUGAUCAUACAACUGGUAUUUGUUCCUUUAGAAGUGCUUAUAGUGUUUUAUGCAAUCAGACUGAGUUUCAUGGCCAGCUUAUUGUGAUUAAUGAUUAUGAUUGUAACUUUUCCACUUACAGGUCAGGUAGUUCCUCAAAAAAUUGGUAGGACAUCUCAUGUUCAUGGUGUUAUUGGCCAGCCAUCUCUUAAAAGGAGAGCAAAUGAAACCCCAUCAGUGCCUUCCUGGGGUCAGCGUAGGAGGUUUUUCACUCCCAGUUACCAUUCUGCAAUGAGCACUCCUGCUAUUCCCCCUCUUCCUUCCACUUCGGCUCACAUAAAGUGGACAGGUAUUCCCUGGCACCCUUUCACUUGCACCAUUUUCCUAUAGUUUCGGAUAUACUGCACAUCGUGGCGAACUGCAAUUACUAUUUAUCCAUGUCUGAGCAUAUAGAUCUCCAUUAUUGACAUUUAAGAGACCUGCAAGGAGCAGUAUUCUUCAGAAACUGCAUGGAAAGAAGUAAUUUUUUCGUUUUAAACAUGUUUAUCGCAUCACUGAACGUUGAUAUACCUUUCACAUUUAGCGCAAAAUUAUUUCAAGGACCGGCUGACUUUGAGGAUAACAAUUUUGCCUAGGCUUGUCCUGGGUUCGGACCAUAUUUGUUCAAGUUGAUCUAAUGCAAAGUAACCACAGCGAGAAAAAAUUGAUUAAUUUAACCAAAUGCACCUUCUAUGCUGCUACAAUCUUGAUAAAGAUUACAAGAAGUGACUGUUAGACGUGCUUGCAGAUUCUGAAAGUCCUCCUCGGCCAACUGGACAUAGAUGCAUGUUAUGCAAGAGGGAUCUCUCUUUCAGACCAGAAGGCCCCAUUUACCAGCCUAUCAAUCCCCCGGCUAUCGCAGUUCUUCCCUGCGGCCAUACGUUUCAUGACCAAUGCUUGCAGAAUAUCACCCCAGAAGAUCAAUCGAAAGAUCCUCCGUGUAUACCCUGUGCCAUUGGUGAAAAACAAGCUUGAAAUUAUUCUCUCAUAUUCUGUGUUGGGCAAACUCUAAAGAUGGGAAAGCUGUAUCUACAUUUAACUGUAUCUACAUUCAAUUAGGAUUUAGUAAGUGAAGAUAACUUAAGAGGGAAGUAAAAUUUUUGUAUAGUUGUUGGAAAUUAGGUGUAGAGUUCUUGCAACUGUACAUAGUGAAUGUGGGAUGGCAGAUGCGGUUGGACAGGUAUUAAAAGCAACCAUUCAGUUACCAAUUUGCCUCGAGUGUACAUGAAGCCUCCCUUUGUUUUGAGAAUGAAUAGAACGAAUUUCAUUUUGUGCUAAUGAGGAUGGUACUAUCUGUCCUUCUUGGCGUUUGAACGCGUCUAAAGUUCUUCUAAGCUUUUCCUUGGAAUAUGCUCUGGAUUGUUAUUGUACGCGUAAGCCUUACGUAUCCAAAAUUGCUCUGCGCUGAUUCCUCCCGCAAUUGUACGGUAUUUCUCCAUAGUUAUAUACUAUAAGGUAAAUUUUGAUGAGUGCUGAUUCAACUCUUUUAACUGUAAAUUACCUAGAAAAUUCUUGUUGGUAAUUAAAUUGGGAUUUUGUGUUUUGAAGUCUAUUUAAUUGAUAUGUUUCCUUUCAAGAUAGUUAUAUGUUUCGUUUUUUAAGAAAAAACCCCAUAUCAUACGAUCCAGCAAAGUGCUUCCUAAUUUCCCUCGCUUUUCGCUAAGGUAAAUUUGUCAUUUACAAAAUUGACAAUCUAUAUCUAUAUCUAUAUGUAUUGAGGAAGGGGUUUUUAUCAGAGACCCUCUCAAUGGCUUUUAAACUUCUCAUUCUUUUUUCUAGAUUUUUGUAUUUAUUUUAAUACAUAAAAAGUAGUGGAUUAUAAUCAACCCUAUCACCAAUCAAAUUUAAAAUUUAAAACAUUCCCACUAUCUACUUCAUAAACCGUUUAUACUUUGUUAUUUAUACUUUAAAUCCUUUUUACUCCUUAAUUAAAAACAAAUGCUCAUUCGCAUGCUAUUUUAAUACAAUGUUACAUUUUUAUAAUUAAGAAAUAUUUAUCCCCAAACUAACCCUAUAACCACCCCUACAAAUGAGCUUUGCAAAUUACAAUUACGUUUCAAAAAAAUCACAAAUGUGCAACUACAUGUAAAGUUGAGAGAGUAAAGUACAACUAAAUGUAAAGUUAAUAGGUUUACUAUAUUUAACCCUAAAAAAAAUCCCAAGAACGGAACAAGUAGUGGGUCUACUUGAUUGUAAGAUUGUUUUAAUUCUAUAGAUUUUUGUAUUUAUUUUAAUACAUAAAAAGUAGUGGAUUAUAAUCAACCCUAUCACCAAUCAAAUUUAAAAUUUAAAACAUUAACACUAUCUACUUCAUAAACCAUUUAUACUUUAUUAUUUAUACUUUAAAUCCUUUUUACUCCUUAAUUAAAGACAAAUGCUCAUUCGUAUGCUAUUUUAAUACAAUGUUACAUUUUUAUAAUUAAGAAAUAUUUAUCCUCAAACUAACCCUAUAACCACCCCUACAAAUGAGUUUUGUAAAUUGCAAUUACGUUUCAAAAAAAUCACAAAUGUGCAACUACAUGUAAAGUUGAGGGGGUACAGUGCAACUAUAUGUAAAAUUAAGGUGUUUACUAUAUUUAACCCUAAAAAAAAUCUCAAGAACGAAACAAGUAGUGGGUUAUAGAUUUUUGUAUUUAUUUUAAUACAUAAAAAGUAGUGGAUUAUAACCAACCCUAUAUCACCAAUCAAAUUUAAAAUUUAAAACAUUCUCACUAUCUACUUCAUAAACCGUUUAUACUUUGUUAUUUAUAUUUUAAAUCUUUUUUACUCUUUAAUUAAAGACAAAUGCUCAUUCGUAUGCUAUUUUAAUACAAUGUUACAUUUUUAUAAUUAAAAAAUAUUUAUCCCCAAACUAACCCUAUAACCACCUCUUCAAAUGACCUUUAUAAAUUACAAUCACGUUUCAAAAAAAUCACAAAUGUGCAACUAAAGGUAAAGUGCAACUAAAUGUAAAGUUGAGGGGGUAAAGUGCAGCUAAAUGUAAAGUUAAGAGAUUUACUAUAUUUAACCCUAGAAAAAAUCUCAAGAACGGAACAAGGAGUGGGUUAUAGAUUUUUGUAUUUAUUUUAAUACAUAAAGAGUAGUGGGUUAUAACCAACCCUAUCACCAAUCAAUUUAAAAUUUAAGACAUUCCCACUAUCUAUUUCAUAAAUUGUUUAUACUUUAUUAUUUAUACUUUAAAUCCUUUUUACUCCUUAAUUAAAGACAGAUGCUCAUUCGUAUGCUAUUUUAAUACAAUGUUACAUUUUUAUAAUUAAGAAAUAUUUAUCCCCAAACUAACCCUAUAACCACCCCUACAAAUGAGAUUUGCAAAUUACAAUCACGUUUCAAAAAAAUCACAAAUGUGUAACUACAUGUAAAGUUGAGGGGGUACAGUGCAACUAUAUGUAAAGUUAAGGGGCUUACUAUAUUUAACCCUAAAAAAAAUUCCAAGAACGGAACAAGUAGUGAGUUAUAGAUUUUUGUCUAGAUUUUUGUAUUUAUCAAAUCGAAUGCACAAUAUUUGUAAGUAUUUCAUUUUAACAACAUUCAAUUACAUUCAUUUUUGUUCAUAUAUCAUUCAUUUUCUAAAAUAAAUUUCUAUUAUUUUUUUUAUGAUCUAUUUUCCGAAAAAAGACAGUUCUUGAAUGAUAUGCACAUCUAUCAUAUUUCAAACUAUUGUUAGACAGAUAUUACAUUUUAAUUGUGUUAGUACAAUUUUUAAACUUUUUUUAUUCACCAUUUUAUUUUUACUUUUUCAAUAAUGCCAGUACCGUGCAUAGCACGGGUAUUCACACUAGUACACAAUUAUUUAGCCUUAGCGGCGGGAAUAUGGCACAUCCGGAAGUAGUUAUUUACAGCCAUAUGAGCCUUGGGCCUUGGCUGGCUAUCCAGCGGCUAGCAAUUAGUUAGUAGUAAGAGCACGUGACUGCGCAUGAUUUCUCGCAUAAUAAAACAAUUAUAAUUUAUUAACUGCACGUGACGUAGUCUUCCAGCCGUUUCAGGACCAAGAAAAUUCUCCCAAACAAACAUCGGCAUAUCCUUUAGUAUUUAGGAAUUUGAUCCCUUCACUUUCUUUUUCUGGGCAUCUCCGAAAAUCCUUACAAACAUUAGGUGCAUUUCAGUAAUUCAGAAACUGGACCCAUAAAUUAUGAAAUUAGUCUAUAUACGCAUACUAGACGAGUUCAAUAACACAUUUGCAGAUAGUACAAAUAUAUUUCAAAAUUACGAAAUUAAGAGUAUAAAUAAAGUUAAUACAUUUUUCACAAAUCGUGCUAUACUAGUACCAAUUUUCACUCUUAUAGUUAUAUAAAAGAAAUUAAAUUAGUUAAAAUUUUAUCACCUCAUUAGCUUUAUAUGAAUAAAUCUAUGGAUGUUAUCACCUUAAAUUUUUUUUUUACCCAAAAAAAUCUAAGGAUUUUAUAAUAUAGGUUAUUAUUGUUUUGUAUGUAACUCAAAACAUAUUUUAUUAUUCUUACAAUAAUUUUCAAAACUAUUUUCACAAUUUCAAGUAUAAUUCGUGAAUUAUAAUAUGCCCAAAUUUUGUUACAUACACAAUUAGCUGAAAAAUAUGAAUACUUCGAAAAAUAUUCUUGAAAGGAAAAAUAAUUCAACACAUCCCCUACAUUUCGUCAAAUAAAUAUUUUAAUCCCUCAUUUUUAAAAUAUUAAUUUUACAUCCCUUAUAAUUUCAAAUUAAUAAAACUUGAUUCCUACCAAGGUUUUUGAUCAUUUUUUAGUCUAAAAUCAGACCAUGUAACCCAUAAACAGUUAUUUUUUAUAUACAAAAAGGCCAGAUAUCACAUUUUUAGUUACAAAGAUGAAUAUAGAUUAUGUCAAAUUCCACCUUUUCAGGAGAAAAUAAAUAUGGUUCAUGCCAGAUCCUACUUUUGUAGAAGCAAAAGUGAAUAUAGAUCAAGAAAUUUGUUUAACUACAAAUGAGAUCUAAUAUUUUUUUCUCUUACAAAAAUGAUUAUGUACGGGUCACGUGAUUGAUUCAAGAUAAAAAAAGAAAGGUAAAAAACCUAGAUUGCAAUCAAAUUUUAUCGACUUGAUUUUGUAAAGGACGUAAAUUUAUUAUUUUAAAAGUGAAGGAUAAAAAAUUCAUUUAACAAAAUGUGAUGAAUAUUUUAAAUAAUUUUUCCUUCUUGAAAUGUACGAAAUAUAAAAUAAUUAUCCAUACAAACCACCGGACCAGUAUGAUACGAGUAUAAUACAAAUUUGUACAAACUCGGCCGAACAGAUAUACCACUUACCACACAUGAAAAACGCGACAACAACCUUUGCCUCAGUAAUUUCAAAUUUUCAAUCAAUCAAAUUUUAUUUAAAUUUUAAAUUAAAAAAAAUAAAAUACCAACUGAAAAUGGGGUCCACCAAGAAAGACAAAUCUAGGCCGUCCAAAGCCAUUGACGAUUCCGUCAGCCACCUCUCUCUUUGGGUGAUGAAUUUGAUGCCAGGAAAAACUCGAGUGCUAAAUGCUAAUCCUCUCUCUCUCAUUUCCCACAUCCGUCCGUGUUGAUGAUUCAAUAUUCUCUCACUUCAUCGGCUUGUGUAAUAACAACCUUCUUCUUCUCGCCUACUCCAACUCCUAACAAAGCCUACUAUUUCCUCAACAGCAACAGACUUAAAUUAGUACUGCUACUACUAUAAUUAGCAGCUAAGGUCUGAAGAGGCAGAUAUAAUUUCUACUACUAAAAAAAAAAAAGAUCUUUUCUUUCCUUGUUAUCUUAUGAGUCCAUAAAAUAAAAGGAAGAAAUAGCUUUUGAUGGUCAGCUCUUGACUUGUAAGUCGGAUAAGGUACGAAUGCUAUGGAGGAACCAAAUAAGAAGGUGGAGCAGACUUUGAUCAAUGGAUUCUCUCCUGUUUCUUCUGCUCCUGUUUUCUGGAAAUCCAGGAGAAGGGCAGGUUAGCUACCCUUUUGAUUCUUGUGCUUAAUUAUCCUUUUCUCUUCGCAUCCUUGGGGUCAAAUUUUGUUUUGAAUUUGUGGGGUUUAAGGAUCAACCCAUGGUUUGAUGAGGGGUUGCAGGAUGCAAAUGACUGUAGAACCGUAGAUCUCUUCAUGCAAAGGCUAAGACUUGGGAAGAAUUGUUUGCUUUCUUGACAUUUGAAGCUUGGAGUAUUUUCUGCUUUGGUUCUUCUUUUUUGUCGGCUAAAUCAUUUGCAAAACUAAUCCCAACAAUUAACUCUGACAAUUUGACACAACUGCUCCGAGAUUAAGCAGCUUAGCCCUUAACCUUAUCUCUGCGACUCCUCCUCCUCCCUUUUUCUUUUUCUUUUUUUUUUUUCCCCUUUUCUGGGGUUGGGAACUUGCUGCUGGGAUGUGUACUCUGGACAUGGGCGAUGAUUGUGAAGUGGGAUCUUCCCAUGUGGAUGGUGUGAUGCGGUUGUGGGUUAGGGAAGGGAAGCGUACAGCUGCACCACCAAGACUUGGUCUGACUUUGCUCCCACGUCACUUCAUUACUCAUGAUUUAGGUUGGAGUUAGCUAGCAAAUCAACCUCAAAGAAAAUACUACUAUUAGAAAAGAAAAUAAAUAAAUAAAAAGGAUGGGAGAAAAUGGAUUGUCCAUCUACAAUCCUCCCCGUCUGAUUGGAAUUUUAUGUUUACCCCUAAAGAUUUUUUUUUGAAAAAGAAAUUUCUUUUUAGACUAUGAAAUGACCACCUCAUGAUUAGUUGGCUUUAAAGUUUUGUUGAUGAUUUAUUUGAGAUAAUUAUUGUAGCAUUUUUUAUGAUGUGAUGCAUGUGAGAUAAAAAGGUAAUUGAAAAAAUAAAAAGGUGAUUGGAAUCUGUGAAGCAAAUUAUUUUAUCUGAAAUCAUGCCAAUCCAAACAAACCCACAUUUGAUUUUUCCGUCACCAAAAUAAGUAUUUUUCUCCUCCACAGUUUUUCCGCUAUUAAGAUUCUACAUUUGAUUUUAAGAUCAUCUAUACCUAAUGUUAAGAAUCUUUUUCUUCUCUGUGACAUUUUUCUAUGGUGAAACUUCUGAUCAUAGUUAAUGAUUGUAAACUUGUGAUCUUAGUUAAGUCAUAAUCGCAAUUUCAAUCACUUAAUGUAAUAGCUGUAAUAUUUUCAAACCAGUAUGAGAAGAUCAAAAUUUUGCCAAUACUAAAUUGCAGUUUGCUCAGUAAAGUAGAGUCUAUUAACUGGAGACCUGCAAGCAUUUGACUCUGGAAUACCUCUUCAGACUAAAAACUAAACCAAACUAAUACUAGUUAUUUUUAAAGACUCUGAGACUAGGUUCACGUUUACAAGUUUAACUUCUUCAUAGCCUUAUGGACAUAGAUUUCAAAUAAAAGGGUGCCUCCUUCUAGUCAGAGUUUUGCCUUCUUACUUACUGCAACCCUACUUCGAAAGCACUAAUUCUUGUUACUUACUAUAGCAUCUAUUUAGCAGAUUAUAGAAGGCAGCAAUCUUGAGCUCUUUGCGAUUCCCAUCUUGCUUACUGCCUUAGUAAAAAUACUUUGAAACUAAGCAUAUUUUUUCCUGGAGAGAUUCCUGCUGAACGUUUGCAUCUUCCUGCAGUCAGCGUGAAGUAUUUAGACAAACCAACAGAAAAUGAUGCUGAUAAACCUCCAGAAACACAGGAAAAUCCCACCGCUGAGGCAAUGCAGGAGGAUUCAACCCCUGUUGUUCUAUCAGAGAAGAGGAAGGCACUCUUUGAACCACUGGAACCCAUGACAAAUAUAAAUGGUCGUAGACCAUCCGCUGAAAUGUUACUUCCCCCACCGGACUUUGAUGCAGCAACUUAUCCCAAAGGCUGGCUGAUUGGCAAGAAGAGGAAGCUUGUGAAUGUUGAUGUUGUGGAAAGCAUGCGCAGGAUUGCCGUCCAGGAAAUGAAUAGAAAGGUGGUGUUCUCGGUAGCCUCUUUGAGUACUAGAGCAAAUAUUGCUCUUUUUACUCGAAAACGCCGGUUGUCCUCUCACAGGAUGUAACAACUAAUUACAUUAUUUCGUUUGCAGGAUAGGGAGAUUGAUGGUCUGAAUGAGCAGUUAGAAGGGGAUGCUCGGUGCCUUGAGCAUUUGCAACUCCAGCUGCUGGAGGAACGGAGCAAGCGAUCUGAAGUUGAGCGUCAAAAUGCAAUGCUGCAAAACCAAAUUACAAUGCUCAUGGACAUGUUACAGGAGAAUGACGACGUAGAUGAUGAUGAAGGUGGAGAGGAGCCUUGAUUUUUUCGUUCUUUCUUCAAUAGUAGGAACUAGUCAUAUGGACUUUUCUUCUGGGGAGUAUUAUUUUAUUUUGCAUAUACGGUUGGCACAAUAUUUAUUUUGUAAUUUUGAGACUUAUGCGGUCAUGUGUGUGUAUAAUUAGUUCACAUAUAUUUCACAACUAGCAUAAAUUGUAUACUGUAAAUCUUCUUAAUGUUCUUAAUGAAAGUGUGAGGAACGCUUUGCAAGUCAACCAGAACAACUCUGCGCUUUGAGCUCUAUUUUGCAUGCAGCCGACUUUUCGCUUGACUAAUCGAUCAAAGACUCUGCCUUUAGUUUCUUAUACUUGUCAUUUUACAUUCACACGCUCUACCUUUGGUUUCUUAUGCUCAUCAUUUUUGUCGUUCAUAAAUCAAGAGGUCUUUGAUUGUGAAUCUAAGCAGCAGAUAAGCACGGAAACCCACUUCAGGGUAAGUCCUUACCUGUGGAAAAUUAUGCAAUCACCACCAUGCACUGAGCACAUGGAUGUAUGUAGUUUCUGAUUGCCAGAAAGGAAGCCUCGGAUUCAUAUGUAUACUAGAGAUGUUCUUCGAUAAGAUAAAACUGCACAUUUUCCACUUUCCACUUAGAUAAUGUGAUAUCAGCUACACCCAAUACCAAAUCUACAACCCAACAAGCAUAACACAAAAAGAAAAACAUUUAGGAUUCUUCAUCAAUGAGAAUCUCCGAAUCCACCACGGUAUGCAAAUUGCAGCAAAAGACCCUAACGUAUGUAUAUGUACAGGUUUCUGGGCAAGGAACUUCACUGGUAGACCCGAAGGACACAUGCUACCGAGCUUGAUUGUC